UAUCCAUCACCUUAAGUAUUUAUCAUUUCUUGGAGCUAAAAAAUAAAUUGGACUCAUGGAGAUAGAGAACAGAAUAAAGGUUACCACAGCCUGGGAAUGGUAGCUGGGAAAGGGUGAUAAAGUGAAGAUGGUUAAUGGGUACAAAACUACAGGUUUGUAUUAAUAGAAUGAAUAACAUCUAGUAUUUGGUAGCAGAAUAGGGUGAGUAUGAUUAACAAUAAUUUAUUGUACACCUACAUCUUUUUCUGAUUCAGUUUAUACCCCUUGGUCUUGAAUGGGAUUGUAAUAAGAAAGGUUUGGAAAGUACCAUCUCUAAUAAUUUUACUUGAGUUAAUUGUUUACUUGCAAUAAUCAAGCUUGGGAGAAAAUGUGUAAGAAAAUUUUGUUAUGACUUUGAUUUUAGUUUACAGAAGACAGGCAAUUUUUCCCCAAUACAUUUGUGUCUAUACGGUUGAGUGCUGUGUGAAAUCUUAUGGUGAAGUAGAUGACAUUUUUAAAGCUCCUUUUCAAUAUUCAAUUUGCCUCCUCAAUUCCCUAGUGGAAGUAAGAUCUUUAUAUGGCUUAAUGGGUGACCUUAUUUAUUAAAUUAGCAAACACCGAUGGCCCAUCUCUGAUGUAUACUUAUGCUAUGGAAACUGCUGUGGAAAAUGCAAAGAAACAUGAAGGUAGUACCCUGUUGGGUGAUAAGAAAUGUAUACUCACAUAAAAUGUAACUCAAGAUAUGAUAACUCAAGAUAAGAUAAUAUCUAGUGUAUGCAACUAGUUAAAUGAGAAACCCUAUUUCUAACUAGAGUAAACAUGGAUUUUUAAAAUUGUGCCUUUAAAAAUAGUUAGGAUUUUAUUUAGUAACAUGGAGGUAAGGAAUCUGGAAGAGGGCAUCUAAGAGUGUGGAAGGGGAGCUUCAAAUUUAUGUGGAUGGAAAAGGUAUUAUUUAGGAAUACAGACAAAAAUAGUAAGAUUGGUUUAGACAGUCUGGCUUGAAAAGUAGGUCUAGGACAUGUCAUAGGAGACUCUAAGUACUUAUCAAUUAUUAAUCAAGCAAGCAGCAUGAGUUAGUUUUCCUUUUAGAGGAUUAAUGUGACACCACACAUAGACUAUAGUAGAGCAAACCUUUUACAUUGUUAUCCUUUUACAUUGUAACCUUUUACAUUGUUGCAUGUAAAUUGUUUACGUUGUUAACCUUUUACAUUGUAGAUUCACAGCCUACUUGCAUCAGAAUCACUUGAGGAUGCUUAUUAAAUGUGCAGAUUGUGUACACUAUUGGUUUGUCUGGGGAGGGCAAUACUCUGGAAGUGAUUCUUAUCCACAAAAAAGCUUAGGAAUGGAGAUAAGGUGCUAGAAAAUCAGAAAACCUAUUAAGAAGUAACUAUAAUGGUCAGAGGGGAUCAUAAAACAUCCCAACUCAUGUAGCUGAAAGACAGAACAGGCAUUGGGGUUGUGAUAAGCCUAGAUUCAACUCCAUCUCUACCAUUUUGAACUUUUCAUGGGCAAAGUUUCUCUAAACUUCUGUUUCUUCAUCUAUAAAAUAACAUUAACUUUACAAACUCACAGUAUUUAAAACAUUCAUCACACAUGGUAAUAUCCUGUACAGAACAUAUAAAACAGGUCCUUAAAAUAUGGUUUCUUUAUUUCACAAAUUAGGGUGAUAAGUUCAUGGAUAUAGGAGAUCCUUUAACCACAAAAAAUUAAGAGGACCUUGGAGAUCUUGCCUUCACCCUUGGCUUAAAUUAUUAUCAUGUCCAGUUGUCUUAAAGUUUAUUUCUUUAGAUCUAAUUUAUCUUCUAGGAGCCAUACUGCCUAUUUGUGUCUUUUAGAUAACUCACAACUCCUGCAACUUAACAUAUGUUACAAAAUGAACUAAUGAUCUUUCUUAUAAACGUAAUUUUCCACUAUUUUCUGAUUUGGUAAAGAUUUUCACUAUUCAUUAAGGUACACAAGCCAGAAACUUAGACGUCAUCCUUGACAUCUUAAUUUCUUCACUCCUCAUAUAAAAUGAUAUUUUCUUUUUCCUGUAUCAUCAAUAUUUCCUCUCUUCUGGGCAUUUUCUUCUAUAUACAAACAUUCUGGAAUCUUCCAUGUUUUUAAAAAAAGUCCUUCCUUGGUUCUACUUUUCUGUCCAGUUAUUGGGCACAUUUCUCAGCUUUUAAUUUUUUUUGAAAAAAAGUCUUGACAGUGGUUAUAUUUUCUCACCAACUCUGUUUCUUUUUCUCCCUUUCUCUCAAGCCUACAUUAGUUUGGUUGGUUUUUUUUUCUCCAAACUUCUACCCAAAUUGUCCUGAGUAAGGCCUGAUGACCUCCAUGUUGUCAAAUCCAAUAGUCAGUUUUCAAUCUUGAUCUUACUCCACAGUUGAUCAAACACUCACUUCUUUUGAAACAUUUCCUUCACUUAGCUUUUAAAGCCCAUCCCCUUGGUUAUUCUCCUAUCUCAAGGGUUCUUCUUUCAGUUUCAUUUGUGAAUUCCAUUCCUCUUCCUGAUUGCUCAAUGUUGGAGUGGUUCAAGCCUCAGUGAUCUACUUUUUUUCUCCAUAUCUACCAUCACUCCCUAAUAAUCUCACCUAGUCCCAUUGCUUUAUAGACAAUCAAUAUCUGGUAACUCCCCCAACUACAUCUCCAGCGUACAUCUCAAUGGUGAAAUCCAAGAUUGAUUUACUCAACAUACUAGUCAGUUUCUCCACUUGGAUAUUGAAUGGACAAAAGUAUCCAGUAACAAAUAAUAAUUAGUUGUUUUCCUCUCCAAAUUUGCUUCUCUUUAGUCUUCCACAUCUCAAAAAAUGGCACAAUUUCUCAAGUGAUUAAACUCUUUGUUUUAUUUUAUGAAAAAAUUAUUGAAACAUGCUUUUAAUGUAUAUCUACUUUUACCUAACUCACAAUUAUAAGAGUCUUAGUUUUAUUUUUUGGAUCAAUAGCAGAUAAGAAACAGAAAAGUAAAAAUAGAAAAGGGUUUCCAAAGAAAUAAUUUCCAUAAGGAAAAACCAGAAGAAAGAGCUGAAUACAAAAGAGGAGAAGGGCUGAUUUAAUAUAAAGAAAAACCAUAAGUUGAUAUUCAUAACAACAUUGUCAAAUCAUCAAUAAAAGGAUAACUCAUGUUAACUAAACACUGUCCACAGAAACUUUGAAUUAAGUUGGUAAAACUUCCAUCAGAAAAGCUAGGAAGUAAUAACACUUGGCCUUGGAAUGGUAAGUGUCAGGUUAGAAAAUCAUUCAAUUUCAGGGAAUAGCAUCUUAUUCUUUGACAAUGCCCUCAAAAUAAAAAUGUUAAUUUUUUUCUUCAUUUUACAUCUCAUUGUUUGUGACUAUCUACAAGAUAGACAAUGAUGUAAGUUACUUAAUAGAAAAUAAUCCAAUAUCAUUUUCCACCUUCCAUGGUUUUUGCUGGUCCUUUCUAUGCCUCUUUGUGUGGCGUGGGAUCACAGCUUCAGUGCAAGUGGGCUUGAUCCUCUUGAAAAAGUAAUAGUUAUAUUUCACAUUUUAAGUAAGAAUUCCUGCCUGUGGAAUAUCAACUUUCUUUUUUGUUAGUGUUGAAUUUCUCUUUUGCUCUGGGUUUGUAAACCUGUGUUGAUUUUCCAGAAUGAUCUAAACUCUCAAUCAAUGUACAGUUAUUUUUUUUUUUGUUUGUGUUAGAAUUUCUCCCAGCUUUAUUGUGGGAUAAUUAACAAAUAAAAAUUGUAUAUAUUUAAGGUGAAAUAUUUUGUUUAUAUACAUUGUGAAAUGAUCGCCACAAUCAAGCUUACUAACAUAUAUAUCACCUUAUAUAGUUACAUUUUUUUUUUGGUGAGAACAUUUAAGAUCUAAUCUCUUAGCAAAUUUCAAAUAGGUAAUACAGUAUUAAUAGCUAUAGUAACCAUGCUGUACAUUAGAUCUCCAGAAUUUAUUCAUACUGCAAAACUGAAAAUUUCAUGCAGUUAUUUUUAUACGUAUUUUGAACAUGAUAAUAACCUUCUUCUACUUAUUUUGAAUGGUACUCAGCAUUACAAAAGGACAAAUUUGAGUUUUAUGGUGGAAGUCAAUCUUAAUUGUUUAGUGCUAAUUGGAUCAUGGGGAUAGUUUGCUUUUUAAAAUAUGCCAUCUGACAUGUUCACAAUGCACUUAAAAUAAACCACCCUAUAUAAUCUUGUUUACUAUAUGUUUAUUGAGCAACUAAUAGCUCUGCCAGAAGCAAUGGGAGAUGCAAAGUAAAUGUGUCUGUAGUGUUAAAAAAAAUUAUUCAUCACAGUAUCUCAAUAUACCAAACUGUAAAUAACUGAGGCAUUGAAUGCAUUUGGAUCUUCCAGUGUCUUAUUUUUAAAUAUGAUCAUUGAUGAUAUUGUCAUUUUUAUAAUUUGGACAGAUUUAACUUCUGAAACAACUAAAAAUAUUUCACUAGAAAUAGUGAAUAAGGUGAGUUGGGAGAAAAAUGUAGUCAGAUUAAUAAAGCACUGUACUGAUUUUAGGGUGAUUACAUUCAAAGAUCAUCUCACCUUUUUAAUUAUGAAAUCUACUGUUUAUUGAGUGCUGGUUAUAAACCAGGCUCUGUGUGUUAGCCCGUCUAGUUCUUAUAACAAUUUUGUGAGGUUGUUCUCAUUAUCUCCAUUUUACAGGAGAAAAAAAUGAAAAAGAAUAAGUAACUAGUGGGAGAGAUAAGUAGGAUUCCACCCCAAGUCUGUUCUUGUUUUAAACAUCAUCCUCUUAAUUGUUAUGAUAUAGUGUCUCCAAAUUGCAGUUAGAACACUUAAAAGAAAUAUUUGCUAAAUAAUUUGCAAAUUAGUACAAAAUAUAGUCAGUCUUAUUAUUUUUCCUCAAAUGGACCAAACACACAGGUGGUAGGAUUUUUUAUCUUCCCAAAUGAUUGUAUUAGCAUUAUGUAGAAUCAGAUUCUUAGCUAUGUACCCACACACAGCACACACACUCACACACCCACACACAAACACACAUAGAUACAUACACACACAUAUACACAAAUAUAUGGAUGAACGAAUCACCAAAGAGUAUGAAAAGAGCACUUGGAAAAGUUGUUUCCAGGGUUGCAAUUAAGUCAGCUGGAGUUGACGUCAUAAAAAGAAACAGUAAUUUGGAAGAUGGUUAGAAAAAGAUAGUAAAAAGCACACUGGACUGAGUUGCAAAGCCUGAAUAUUGGUCCUAAUGUUCCCACUUAGCACUCUGUGACUUGGACAAUUCAUUUGAUCAUAUUUAACUGCUUUUCAGCUCUUGUACAAAUGGCUUAAUAAUACUUAUGAUUCCUGGAUUACAGGGUUUAGAAUUAAGCUAGCUUCUAAAAAGAGAUACUCUAUCUUAUCUAUCAUGGCAUCUCAAAAACUAGUUCAUUGCCUAGUAAUGACAGGUACUCAAGAAAUGGGAAUGAAGGCAACUUAUAAACUGUAAAAUGUUAACAUUUUUCCCUUAUUCAUCCAAAAAAAACAUUUUUUCAGGUAUCUGCUAUGCUGCCUGUUUUUAUAUAACUAUGGUGUUUUGGAUAAUAACACAUUAUUUCAGCCCUUCUGAAUACAACUCAACUAGUCAUCUUGAUGUGGUGCAUUUAGAUCAUACAUGAGUCACCUGCUUCUCAUGCUCACACUGGCUAAAAUGUCAGUACCCUCAGUGAAUGCGUGAGAUUAAAUUAGUAAAAUGCAAAUAGUGUUGUAGAAAUACACAUGGUUUUCACUAAGUUAUUAGUCUUUUUAAAUGAGGCCUGUCAUUAUGUCAUCGGAUCUAAAACUCAUCUAAUGUCUGAAUAGUGGGCUUCUAUGAAGCAUGGUUAUGUUUAUUCCCUAAUGAUUUUACAUCUGGUCUGGCCAAAUGCAAUAUUCUAAAGUUUAUCUUGUACUAAUUGCUCUAAUGAUCUCUAGCUUGCAUUUUCUGGAAAACAGAAACUAUCUAAAAUUAGAUUGUGAUUAUUAAAUAAAUCUGGUUCAAAUAAGGAAUUGUGUUACAUAUGCAAAUGUGUUCUGUUUCUUUUAAGCACUUUAGUAUUUUCCAUAUGAAAGAAAACCUUCCAGAUCUCCUGAUUUUCAGGGGAAAGAUUGAAAAAUUAUCAGAAAGUCAAAAGUGCCUGACUCAACAGAGUUUAUCCUGUGUUUUUAAUGUCUGCUAGUUAACUCCAUGCAAAACUCUGCAACACAAACUUUUCUACAGAGUUCUUCUAGAGAGCUGUCCCAAAAGGAGAUUUAGCAGCAGAAAGCUGACUUCCGAUGCCCAAGAUUCAGGAAGGCAGACAACCGUGCUUUAAUCAUGGACAAUUAUAUUUUGGUUAGGAUACAAGGUGCAGGGCUAGAAAACAGAUGCUUUUUUAGCAAAACCUCAUGGGAUAAUUAGUAGAAAUCACAAUUUUCAUUCUCCUGGGUGUCAAGAUUUUAAAUUGACACCAAGAAUUCUCAUUUCUAACCGAAGUUCACAUUAUUUCACUCUGUCAGUGUUUUGAAAGGAAAUACCUGUUACAGAUUGGAAAGGUGCUGAAAAAUAGGAAAGACUCUUAAUUGGGACACUAAUUUAUUCAAUAACAGUUUGUUGCCAUCCAAUGAACUAUGACAACAAUGCCUCGGUUACAUCUUUGGACAUUUAUUGAUAAAGGUAACUAUGGCAACAAAAGAAGAGGUCAGGAGAAUCCUAGCCAGCGUGUUCCUGACUGCUUUGUUUAGAUCAGCGUUCGCACUUCAGUCAGGCCUCUGUUAGGGUUAUGAGGCAUCUUCCCCAAGUGACGGCAUAGUUGCUUCAGAUAAUGCUCAGAUGAGUUCUGACGGCGUGGAACAGUGGUCUUAACACUCUCAUCUUCUAAGAUUGUGUAGGAUCAUUUGCCUUGCAAUUCAACCAUACGUUGCCACAUAGCAGAGGCUCAAAAGAACGAUGAAGCUCAAAGAGUUUCAAGAUUCAAAGUCUUCCAGGUCAAUAUUCAAACACAGGUAUAUUUGCUUCCAAAAUCUAUGUAUUUUCUACAACAUAAAGCAGCCUCCUUAAUAUUUUACUGCUCUUCACUCAAGAUCCAGUCUUGGAUAAUGUCACAAUUUAAAAAAUAUAUUUCUCUGCUCCUUUUUUUUUGUGGUUUCAGAUGUUUUCCAGGGGCAAUAAAGCUAUCUUGAUCAGCUCUUCUACUAACUUGUGCUGUAUCUCUUACGUAUUGUUUUUCCAAAAUAUUUUUUCUCAUUUUUUGUUUACUUUUUUCCUCUUUCAAAUUCUAUUCCCUAAAAUUCUUUCCCCCUGCAUCUGUCUCAACAAGCUCUCUGAAUUCUGCUGCUACUCCCUCCCUAUCUGUGAUCUAUUAGUUUUCAUGAAUCUGUAGAAGUUUAGGGCAUUGCUUCAGUGAUCAGGUUGCUGUGGAUGAUAUCCAACUUGUUCUUACCUGCUUGAAUAGUUCCUGUAAAUUCUAAUUUUCAGCUGCCUUUUCUAUGUUUCUUUCUUUUUUGAGACAGAGUCUAGCUCUGUCACCCAGGCUGGAGUGCA
rnacentral:lncRNA from 1 species